GUUGCUUGGAAAACUUUGAAAUAAGAUAUGCUGUUGUGUGCCAACACCAUGAUAAGUCCUGAAGAUACAAAGAUGACAGAGCCACAAGAAGGCCUUCACAGAGCUCAACCUCAGAAGGAUGACCAAGCCAACGACUAGGAAAGUGAUUCCGAUUGAAAGCUUUGCAGAUGUGCUGCCAGAACCUACAUGAAAGACAAAGGUAACUCAUGUCAAAGCUUCGCCUUAAGGAGCCUAAAAUAUGAUAGGGAGAUAAAAGUAGCACACAGGUUUACUUCUGAGGCAAUGGGAGAUAGACCACUGACAUAAGCCCGCAGCUAAUAGGAGUGUCAACUGGAAAAUCAGGAUGAAAAAUGCGUUUUUUGAAAGGAACUCCAAAUCCCAUCCUGCAAGUGAUUUGCAGGCAGACUCAAUUUGUUUCCUGUACCUGAGAUGCUUUCUUUCAAUCUCAGACUAUGAAAAGUGUU